rnacentral:lncRNA from 1 species
AAAUAAUAAGUUCCACAAAAGGAAAAUUAAAAGUACCACCCGAAGUUUCUUUUUCAAGUGCUUGGUGAAGUAUGAUUGCUGUCCCACUUUUGUUUUUUAAUAUAAAUAAAUAUAUAUAUAUAUUUUUUUCUCUCCCAUUCAUAAUUUUCACUUCUCAGGUUCCACUAGAAAGAAAAAAAAACACAAUAAUUAAAUGAGGAAAAAGAAAAUGGAAGGAAAAUUUAAAGAUAAGACAAAAAAGGUGCUGGGCCCACUGUGGAAAAAUUAUUAAUACUGGUAUUCAUUUUGUGGUGGUUGCUUUCAUAGGUUUGGCAGACAUUGCAUUUCUUCAUAUGUUGGAUUAGAAAAGGGCAAAUGGGGGCAGAAGCAUCAAAGGCUGCUUCCCCUUUUUCUUUUUUUUUUUUAUGCACAUGAGAUCACAAAAAAAAAAAAAAUGAAGUGUUAGAGUUUAAAUUUCAAAGGUUUUGAAUGUUAGAUGGCUUCCAUCAUUUUGUUGGGACCAUUGGAUUCAAAUAAUUUAUUAACUUCGUAUUUAUAUGAAUGAAAUUCAUCAUUUUCUUCUUACAUAAGACAAGCAUGUUCUUGUUCCAUAGUAAACAUUUUUCAUGUUUCUAUCAUGACUAAAACAAUAAACUUUAUGUAUGGUGGGUUUGUUAGGAAAAAAAAAAAUAAAGAGAAGUAAUUAUUUCCUCUCAUUUGAUAGAGGAAAAAGGAUGCAGGGAAAGAGGAAAAUUGGUUAGAUUUACAAAUCAAUCCUUUUUCAUAAAUGAAGAACAAAAGAAAAAAAAAUUGGUUCCAUUCUUAGAUAUUUUCUUUGUAAUAAGACAAAUAUAUGGGCUUGAGUUUAGCAACAUAAAAGUUGAGUUGGAUUGGUCUUAGCAUGAGCAAACCCAAUUAUCAUGAGAAUAGCCCAAUGCUGGAGUAUUUUCUAAUGCAGAUAGAAAUAAUGGGUUGAACCUCCAUUGUUGAUUUGCCAUGGCUUUAGCUUGGGAAAAACCCAAUUAGCCAUUACACGACAUGAUGAACCGUCAAUCUUCUCAGCACCUUCAACUUGAUCAAGCUUCAAAAGUGCACUUAUCAUAGUCACAUACCCCACUCCUUGUUAUAGUUUAUGCCCAUUUCCUUGUAAAGAUUCCACAUGCGGUACUUCUCAUCUUUUUCACCAAUUUCAGCGUUUAUUUUCGAAAUCGAAUUC